GGCUCGGUAGCCUAGUUGGUAAAGCGCUCGUCUAGCAUACAAGAGUCCUGGGUUCAAAUCUCAGCCGAGCAC
rnacentral:tRNA from 2 species